GUGCUCGCUUCAGCAGCACAUAUACUAAAACUGGAACGAUACAGAGAAGAUUAGAUUAGCAUGGCCCCUGCGCAAGGAUGACAUGCAAAUUAGUGAAGUGUUCCAUAUUUUU